AGUAAAGGCAGACAAGCAUGAGGCAAGUCCCAGAAGGUAUGAGGACAUAGACAAGAGCAGGAAGCCCUCACAAAGAUGUCUUCACAAGGCUGCAAGUGGCCAGCUGAGCAGACCACCAAACUCAUCAUGAUGGGUGUAAGAACUGGGGGCUCAAGCAUGCAGGCAACGGAUUGUAACAUUGAUGUGGGAGUCACUUGUGGACAGGGUCUUGCUAUGUAGUCCAGUUUGACCUCAAAUUCAUGAUCUUCCUGCCUCAUCGUCCUGAGGGCUGGGAUCACAGAAGUGUGUUAAAACACAGAAGUUAGAUUACAUGGAAAUUGGAAGUUGGAGAAACCAUGUGGGGCCACAGAGAGGUAGAGGUGGCAGAGGAGCACCAGCUGUACCAGUAUCCAUCCCUCUGAGGCUUCCUAGUGAGAACUGUCAAACUGGAGUGUGCUAGCCUGCAGAGAAUGCCAAUCCCUGGACUUCAAGUCUGAAGCAUCUCUACCUGGACCAGUUAGCAGAGAUGAAAAGAAAUAGCUCCAAAGCAGCUCUACCUGGACCAGUUAACAGAGAUGAAAAGAAAAAGCAUCAUUGGUCCAUUUGAGUCCUGUGUGUUGAUUAUUUAUCUUGCCCCUCUUAUCCUGUUGAAGGGAACAGUGUUUUGCACAAGACAUUUCAAGGCCAAGUUCUCAGCACAAAGGAGAUUUACUUGCCCCAGAGGAACAGAGGGCAGGGAAAAAGAGACAGAGACAAGAGAUAGAGGACAAGGGAGAAGGGGAAAGGAACAGGGGAGAUGGAGAAGGGGUGUUUGUCCUGAAGGACAAAGGAUUGCCUCUGGAUAGAGAGGAGACAGAUGUGGCCCACAGGAAAACGGUGGUUUAUAAAGGUAAAUGAGGAAACCCUGUGUUAGGAUGAGGUGCCUAAUUUUGAUUAGACAGGUUAAUUAGGGUGACCACAAGGGGGCUUUUGAUUGCUAGACUUCAGUUCUUUUAGCUGGACCUUGGCAGUCAGUCUCAGGGGGAGGAAGUGGCCAGACAGGGGAGCAGACCUUGCAGGCUAGCUUUAGGAAUGCAAUUUAAUAUUUUUCUCAAGGAAGAAGGAAUAGGGGAGAAAGGCAAGACCUGCCAGAGCCAUUUUUGCCAUGGCCAGGCCACGAGUCCCUGCCAAGUACAUGGUGAUCCUUAAUGUCAGCACUCGGGAG
rnacentral:lncRNA from 1 species